CGGGAUGUGGCGCAGCCUGGUAGCGCGUUCGCUUGGGGUGCGAAAGGUCGUGAGUUCAAAUCUCGCCAUCCCGACCA
rnacentral:tRNA from 2 species